UGGGGAAUAUUGGACAAUGGGCGCAAGCCUGAUCCAGCCAUGCCGCGUGUGUGAAGAAGGCCUUUUGGUUGUAAAGCACUUUAAGCGAGGAGGAGGCUACUUGGAUUAAUACUCUAGGAUAGUGGACGUUACUCGCAGAAUAAGCACCGGCUAACUCUGUGGCAGCAGCCGCGGUAAUACAGAGGGUGCGAGCGUUAAUCGGAUUUACUGGGCGUAAAGCGUGCGUAGGCGGCUUCUUAAGUCGGAUGUGAAAUCCCUGAGCUUAACUUAGGAAUUGCAUUCGAUACUGGGAAGCUAGAGUAUGGGAGAGGAUGGUAGAAUUCCAGGUGUAGCGGUGAAAUGCGUAGAGAUCUGGAGGAAUACCGAUGGCGAAGGCAGCCAUCUGGCCUAAUACUGACGCUGAGGUACGAAAGCAUGGGGAGCAAACAGG
rnacentral:rRNA from 1 species